rnacentral:lncRNA from 1 species
CUUAGUACAAACCAGUCAAUCCAAUUAACAGCCUAGGAAAUAUGCAUCAAAAGAAAAUGAACUGAAUCUAAUACAAAAGCAUUCAUUACAGUUGAACAAACAUGUAUCAGGAGACCGAUGGACAUUUCAUUUCAUUUUUUCAACUUCAAAGCUACAUUGAGCCGAAUUCGAAUGUGUACUUGGAGUGUGAAAUAGAGACAGAAAUGGAAGUAAGCUGAAGCAGGGAAACAAGCAGCAACAAUUUGAAUUCAAAUGGCCCAAAAUUAUACCAAAACUUCAACCCAAAAAUAAGAAUAGAUCCAGAAAUAUUUUGAAAUCAAGCAACAACAAUCAAUAAACCCAGAAUCACUUGUAAACCAAUAAGUGAAUCCCAAACAAACCAGUAGACAAAAUGCUGAACCAGAAAAUACCACUCAGUAACUAGACAUUAAUGGAAGAGUAUAUGCUUUCGAUUUUCUGAAGGUUUCUAUUUUUUUAGAAAAAGAAACCGGUUCAAAGCUCUUUAACAAUGAUGAUAAAAACUGUCCUAAAGAAGUUCCGAAAAACAGUGAUUUCCUUUUGUUUUUGAACCUCUCAAGACUGAUUUUCUAAAACUGAUAACUGAAAAGAAAACUCUUAAGCACAAUCACUGGAGAACUC